GCAGAGAUGUGACCUUCUCUUCGGAGCCCGGAACACAGGUGCUGCAUGGCUGUCGUCAGCUCGUGUCGUGAGAUGUUGGGUUAAGUCCCGCAACGAGCGCAACCCCCGUCCUUAGUUGCUACCAUUUAGUUGAGCACUCUAAGGAGACUGCCGGUGAUAAGCCGCGAGGAAGGUGGGGAUGACGUCAAGUCCUCAUGGCCCUUACGGGCUGGGCUACACACGUGCUACAAUGGCGGUGACAAUGGGAUGCUAAGGGGCAACCCCUCGCAAAUCUCAAAAAGCCGUCUCAGUUCGGAUUGGGCUCUGCAACUCGAGCCCAUGAAGUUGGAAUCGCUAGUAAUCGUGGAUCAGCAUGCCACGGUGAAUACGUUCCCGGGCCUUGUACACACCGCCCGUCACACCAUGGGAGUUGGUUUUACCUGAAGACGGUGCGCUAACCGAAAGGGGGCAGCCGGCCACGGUAGGGUCAGCGACUGGGGUGAAGUCGUAACAAGGUAACCGU
rnacentral:rRNA from 1 species